GUCACCGUGGAAUAUACAAAAUCAUGAUAAGAGUUUGUACAGACACCUUCAGUUUCCUAUCUCAUCCACUUCACAAAACCACAAUCCCACGGACCUUACAUAACUCUACUAAGCCCAUCUCAUAAUUCCAUACAAGAAUACCAUAUCUUUGAAACCACUUACUGCAUAGACACAAUGAGCUUCAAACACAUGUCACUAACAGUUAUUCUGCAAGGUUUAUCAACUUCUUAGAAAGCUAAAUAUAUGGGCACCUGGAUGGCUCAGUGGGUUAAGGCCUCUGCCUUCCAGUAAGUCUCGAUCCCAGAGUCCUGGGUUCGAGCCCCAAGAUGGAGCCCUUCUUGGGGCUCUCUGCUCCGCGGGCAGCCUGCUUCCCCUUCUCUCUCUGCCUGACUCUCUGCCUGCUUGUGAUCUCUCUCUCUGUCAAAUAAAUAAAAUCUCAAAAAAGCUAAAUAUAAACUGACCCUAUUACCCAGCAUUUUUUUUUCUAGGUAUUUACCCAGGAGAAAUGGAAACGUGCCAGCUUUAUUCAUAAUAUAUAAAACCUGGAAAUACAACAAGUGUUCACCAAGAGAAAAACGAACAAACAAACUGGCAUAUUUACACAACUGAAUGCUGUCCAUAAAUAAAAAGAAUGAACCACACAUUAAUAAAUAUCACAAAACUGGGAUAUGCAAAAGGAGACAUAUGUAAUUGCAGAACUGACAAAACUAAAUUACGGCGACGUAUCUCAUAACUGGCUGUUUCUGUUGUGAGACUGACUGGAAAAAGACACCAGAGAACUUCCUGGCAGUGAUGGUAUAAAACCCGCACCAGGGCAGGAAUACACAUACUUAGCCUCUGUUGUGUGCCAUAUGCCAUUCUGGGUGCUGGGGCUUUCUCAAAGGGCAAAACCGACAAGAAAACUCUUCACCCUCUGAUUCACGACCCCGGGCCUGGGGUACCGCAACAUGCAGGCCUGAGGGGAGAGAAACCUCCACAGUCUCCCCAUUCUCGUCUCAGCCAUUUCCGCCCAAACUGUGGUACCCAUUCAGCCUUUCUUGGCCCGAUCGCCCUCAGCACGGAUUCCCGAUUCCUUCUUGGUCCUCCUACGCCAGGUUUCGGAUUCUUUCCUUCUCAACGCUCCGGGAUUGGGGAUUCCGCUUCUCUCCAGGUCCUCCCGGACACAGGUUUCUUCCAUCCUCCUCCUCGCCCCGCCUCCGGCUGGCUUCCGCUUCCCUUUUCCUUAUUUCCCCAACCAGGUUUCCAGUUUCUUCCUCGGCUGGGGCUCUGGUUCAACCCAGGACUCCACCUCGCUCUUCGGCGUCUGAAGGGCCGUCCGUGGCAACCGUCCUUCGCCCAGGAGGAGCGACCCGCGCACCCUGUAACUCCCAGGACUUUCCCGGGGGUGGCGCGGACUUUGCUACCGUUGCCCUCCCGGCUGCGCUCGAAAACCGGGACAGUUUCAGUGUUGGACUACGUUUCCCACAGGCCCCAGGGACACGAAUGAACUUCGACUUUUGGUUCCCCUUCCGGUAUCAUCGUGGUUAUUGGAGUAUGCCUGUUCUGCAAGAGAAGCCCCCUGAAGUGGAGGAGAGCGUUGCCACUUAAAAGCCUGUUCAAGGUCAGUUCAUGUUUAUUUUU
rnacentral:lncRNA from 1 species